rnacentral:rRNA from 1 species
CCUACGGGAGGCAGCAGUGGGGAAUAUUGCACAAUGGGGGAAACCCUGAUGCAGCAACGCCGCGUGGGUGAAGGAGCGUUUCGGCGCGUAAAGCCCUGUCAGCGGGGAAGAAGAAAGACGGUACCCGACCAAGACGCCCCGGCUAACUACGUGCCAGCAGCCGCGGUAAUACGGAGGGUGCAAGCGUUGUCCGGAAUCAUUGGGCGUAAAGAGUUCGUAGGCGGCAUGUAAAGUCAGGUGUUAAAGGCGCAGGCUCAACCUGUGUAUGGCACUUGAUACUUGCAAGCUGGAAUGCGGUAGAGGUAAAGGGAAUUCCUGGUGUAGCGGUGAAAUGCUUAGAUAUCAGGAGGAACAUCGGUGGCGUAAGCGCUUUACUGGGCCGUAAUUGACGCUGAGGAACGAAAGCCAGGGUAGCAAAUGGGAUUAGAUACCCGAGUAGUC